UAGGCUAUAUUCUGAUUCCAGAUAAACAAAUAUAAAUCAUCCCCCAGAACUUGCAACUUGGUGAAAGUGUGACUCAUCUUCAUUAAUGUUUUGACAAAAUUUGCCUGAAGAAUUCUAAACAACCUUGAGAAGAGCGAGGGAAGUUUGGGAUUCACUUCUACAAGGGCGUGAGAACUGAACGAAAGAAUACGAGACGUGUCAUAACUUUUCGUCCUUAUUUCUCAAUGACUACACUUUGAGAGGAGCGAACUCACAGCCGUAAAAGUAAGAGUCUUAAAACAAAACUAUCUUCUAAACUCAUCCUUAGCUAAACGAAAAACCAACUACCUAAUGUUUAAAUGCCAAUAAUAUGAAAGAUUAAAGAAUAACGCAAUAAUAGAUUGCUGUAUAUAUGCGUGAAGUUUAAGAUAGAGCCUUGGUUAUUGGAAGGUUGUUAUGGACAUCCGGGACACAUCCAACAUGGAAGCUCGGAGGCGCGUGUGAAAAUAACCCACAAUAGUGACAGUGUGCAUGUCCGGUGACACAACAGCCAUAUGCAAGGACCUCUGGCGUUAUUUUAGUGUGUAGGGAGCUAAACAGGAUGGAAAAUGCAGGAAACAUUGGUUCUCGACGGCGUGAGGGCAAAAAGUAUGCAGUUGAAGAUGAAGCACUGGACAGGAUUGCUAAAGAGGUACGUGUGAUUAUGUGCACGCCAGGCCUGUUAUGUGUCUUCCGCACGUGAGUAGACUGAAACACACACACACACACACACACACACACACACACACACACACACACACACACACACACACAGAGUAAAUAUGUAAACUGCAUUGGUAAGAGAUUUUAUGUACGUACAAUUCACAUUUUCUUGGUGUAUUAGAGACGGAAGGGAAGAAGGAAAGAAUGGAAGGAAUGUGAAAAGCAGGAUGUAGGGGGAACGAUAAAAGAGAUGCGAAGAAGAGACAAGUGAAGAGAAAGACGGUGUUGAAAGGUUACGUGACUAUUAUUGGGGGAAAGGGGAAAAAAUAUUGCGAGUAUUUAACGAAGAGAAAGAAUUGGGAGUGUAAAAGGAAAGGAACGAUGGAAACGGGAUAUGAGUGUUAAGUGUAAGGGGAAGCGGGAAAUACACUGUUCAUGAAGGGAUUAGUGGGGGAUUGACUGACAGGUGAUUUGUAGUCAGUGUAACAAUCAGGGAAGAGAAAGAAAUGGGGAUAUAAAAGGAAAGGAACGGUGGAGAAAAAGGGAAUGGAAGUGUUAAGUGUAAGAAAAAGCGGGAAAUACUGUGUUCUUGAAAGGAUUCGUGGGGCAUUGACUGACAGGUGAUUUGUAGUCAAUGUAACAACGUUUUUAUGUCUUGGAGAAAGUUUAACACCUUGAGUACCAUGACGCGUUUUCAUUUUGCUUACUAUCUGGCAAUUUUAUACAACUUCAGAGACUUACGUGGAGGAUUAAAAUAGUGAAGACUCAGAACCACCAACCUUGUGACCUCCAUAGACCCUUCGUAAUGUAAUCUAAUCAUACAAAAUCUCAAGGUAAAAAUGUAUCCCAGUACUGAAGGGGUUAAACUGUAUACAUUGACGUGCAUGUGUAUGACGAUCAGUGUACUAUUGUGGAUUUUUAAGAACAAGUAUAGGUAUUCAGGUGUAUUAAGAGUGAGGGAGAAGUUUAUGUACUAGAAAAACAAGCACUACGGAGAAAAAAAUAUAAUUGGGUAGAGAUUGCAAAGAUAAAUAUUGAGUUAAAGAGUACUGUGUUUAUUAUAAAAAGUAUAGACGAAAGUAAUGAGUGAAACGUAAACAAAAGUAAUAAGCAUAAAACGUGGAUAUUAUUCUUACACAAUGGAAAUGACACGAAUAGAGCCAUGCAGUCAUUUGUCUCGUGCAAGUGAGGAGGGAAAGAAAACGUAUGCAAGAUAGGAGAGGAACGGAAGGGAUCAAUAAUCGGGUUUUGCAGGGAUAAGAGAAAGAGGAUCAGACAGUAUGGACGAGUAGACAAGAUUAACCCAAAACACAUUUUUACUUUGAGAUUUUGUGUAUGAUUAGACCAUUUUAUUGAUAUCAGGAAGAGUUUGAUGAGGUCAGAAGAGUAACAGCCACAAUCUUCACUAUUUUAAUCCACAUGAGUUCUUGAAGCUGUAUAAAAUCACCAAAUAGUAAGCAGAACGAAUAUGAAAACGCGUCCUGGUACUGAAGGGGUUAAGAUAAGAUGCACACGCUAAUAAUCUGAAGUACACGCAUGGAUACCGUCAUUUGUUUCAUGCGGAAAAGGAAGCGGGAGGGUCGAUCCAUGGUGUUAAGGGGAGUUAGUGAGGGUGGAAUUAGGUCGUAAAGUGCCAAGUUAAGAGUGUAAGGCUCCCGCAAGUCCGGCAGUGUUUCAAAAUAAGCUCCAAUACCUUGAGUGGAUUGUGCGCUGCCCGCGUUUCACUGUUUUUCGUCUGGUGUUCCAAAGUGCAUGACUCAGUGUGUCGAAAUGCGGGCAGGUUACGUGUGUGUGUGUGUGUGUGUGUGUGUGUGAGAGAGAGAGAGAGAGAGAGAGAGAGAGAGAGAGAGAGAGAGAGAGACGUGUGUUGCAUGGGGGCACUACACAAGCAGGCAUGUUCAUUACUGCAAAAAGGUGUCACAAGCAUUUCAUUGUGUGUGUGUGUGUGUGUGUGUGUGUGUGUGUGUGUGUGUGUGUGUGUGUGUGUGUGUGUGUGUGUGUGUGUGUGGGCUAGACAAGGACACAAAUACGGUACAACUUUACAUAACGAAAAACGAAGCAGGAUAAUUGUACUUACGUUA